UCCCUCACGCACAAAUUUUCGUUUUUUCUAUUUUAACAUUUUUGUUUGCAGACGCUCUUAAACCCUAAUCCAAACCCUAAAUAUCCCAAAGGAACUCAACCAUUCUCAGAGAUCCAAGAAGGUAUAGUAGGAAUCAAUAAUGGAAGACACAAAGGAGAACGAUGCUUACGAGGAGGAGCUUCUCGACUAUGAAGAAGAUGAUGAAAAAGCUCCUGAUUCCAUCUCCGGCAAAGUUACAAACGGCGAGUCCGCCAAGAAGGGUUACGUUGGCAUUCACAGUUCCGGAUUCCGAGACUUUCUGCUAAAGCCAGAGCUAUUGCGGGCUAUUGUGGAUUCAGGGUUUGAGCAUCCUUCUGAAGUGCAACAUGAAUGUAUCCCACAAGCAAUUCUAGGCAUGGAUGUUCUUUGUCAAGCUAAAUCUGGAAUGGGUAAAACUGCUGUUUUUGUUCUUUCAACUCUGCAACAGAUUGAACCUGUUGCUGGUCAGGUUGCUGCCAUGGUUCUAUGUCACACAAGGGAAUUAGCUUAUCAGAUCUGUCAUGAAUUUGAGAGGUUCAGCACAUACUUGCCUGAUAUCAAGGUUGCUGUUUUCUAUGGUGGUGUCAAUAUCAAAAUUCACAAGGAGCUUCUGAAGAAUGAAUGCCCGCAUAUAGUUGUUGGAACUCCUGGAAGAAUACUUGCACUGGCUAGAGAUAAGGACCUGUCUUUGAGGAAUGUGAGGCAUUUUGUACUGGAUGAAUGUGACAAAAUGCUUGAAUCACUUGACAUGAGAAGAGAUGUGCAGGCAAUUUUCAAGACGACUCCUCAUGACAAGCAAGUAAUGAUGUUUUCAGCAACACUCAGCAAAGAGAUUCGCCCCAUUUGCAAGAAAUUUAUGCAAGAUCCAAUGGAAAUUUAUGUUGAUGAUGAGGCCAAGUUGACCCUUCAUGGACUUGUACAGCACUACAUCAAAUUGAGCGAAGCGGAGAAGAACCGGAAGCUGAAUGACCUGCUGGAUGCUUUGGACUUCAAUCAAGUUGUUAUAUUUGUCAAGAGUGUAAGCAGAGCAGCAGAGCUGAAUAAAUUGCUUGUUGACUGCAAUUUUCCAUCUAUCUGCAUCCACUCUGGAAUGACUCAGGAAGAGAGAUUGACUCGCUAUAAGGGUUUCAAGGAGGGGCACAAGAGAAUUCUUGUGGCAACUGAUUUGGUUGGGAGGGGCAUCGAUAUUGAAAGGGUCAACAUUGUUAUUAACUAUGACAUGCCAGAUUCUGCAGAUACUUACCUUCACAGAGUGGGUAGAGCUGGUAGGUUUGGAACUAAAGGUCUUGCCAUCACAUUUGUCUCGUCUGCAUCAGAUUCUGAUGUUCUUAAUAAGGUUCAGCAGAGGUUCGAAGUGGAUAUUAAAGAGCUUCCUGAGCAGAUUGAUACUUCCACAUACAUGCCAUCAUAGUGGGAUGAGGUCUUCCUGGAGAAUAUUCAAGUGAAGUUGCAUGAAGAUAAGGGAACUAACAAUAAGGUGGUUAUGCUUUUGUUCAACAAACAGUGUGGGAAUUUGAAUAAUUAAUUUGAAGAAUGAGUAGCCGCCUCUGCUUCGGCACCUUUAGAUUGAUGUACCUCAUGGAACCCAUACUUGUUUUAGUCAGUUUGAGAACUUCAAAUGUUAUGUGUAAUCUUUUUAAGAAAGCAACUGAUGUCCCUUCUGCUGCCUAGUUGCUAGAUUAAUUCAGGCCAGUUUCCAGAAUACUAAUUGAUGUUAAAUUUGUUCACUUGAAGUUUCGAGAACUAUAUUUGUGAUGAGAAACUGUAAGCUAACUGAAACUUAAUCUGUAAACUCUGUUGAUCUGAUGAAGCUGCACUGUCACGUGAAAGAGCUCUUUUGAUAAUAUGACGGAUGCAGCUAAACAAGUUCAAGAUCAAUGUCUUCUUGACAAUUACUUCUAAAAAAGAAAAUGG